rnacentral:lncRNA from 12 species
CCCCCCCGGGGCGCUCCCGGCCCCGCUGCGGCCGCGGCACCAGCGCCCCCCGGCGGCACCGCGGGGAACUGCAGGGACAGAACCGGGACCGGGACCGAGAGCGGGGACAGAACCGGGACCGAGAGCGGGGACAGAAGCGGGACUGAGAGCGGGGACAGAACCAGGACCGAGACCGAGAUCGGGGACAGAACCGGGACCGAGAGCUGGGACAGAACCGGGACCGGGGUUUGAGAGUGGGAACAGAACCGGGACCGAGGACAGAAGCGGGACCGGGGUUCCCGUGUGGGGACAGAAGCGGGACCGGGGUUCCCGUGUCCCCCCGGGCCGGUGACCGGGCACGGGGACGUUCGGGUGUCGGUCUCUGCUGUCCCCGGUACCGGGGGCUGCGGGAGGGAGGUUUUGGCAAAGCUCAGCUUGGGGCCGCUCCCCCAGCCCCGGCUCUGCUCUCGCAUCUGUUUCGUUCAGAUCCAGGACAAAUCCCUCGCGCAGCGCUGGGAACCUCGGCUGGUGCCAGUUCCUUGCUGUUCCCCACAGAUCCUCGCCGUGGCCGCAGCAUUUUCCGUUUCUCUGGCUUUCAGAGCCCGGGGUGACACAGGGUCACUCUGCCACCCGAGGGGACACAGAGAUGCACCUGCAGCGCCCGAGCUGCUCCUGCCCUGCCAGGACCUUUGGAUGGACAGCAUGAGCAGGCAGUCAGCUUCCCCAGGAGUCAGCCCGGCUGUUGAUCAGGGGCUCUGGCUGUUGUCAGCUGUAUUUAUUGCUGUAGGCUUGCCUCAGGGGCUGCCUGAGGGGUGCUCGGUGUGUUAGAAAGGAAUAAACAGGAAAAGUUGAUGGGAUGGGAAACUCAGCCUCAACUGCACUGGCUCAGCUCCACAGACCUGCCACGGGCAGGUGGCAUCUGGAAGGGGCCUGCAAGAGGGAUGGAGAUUUUGGAUAAGGGAUGGAGAGAUGGGACAAAAGGGAAUGGCUCCCACUGCCAGAGGGCAGGGC